rnacentral:lncRNA from 1 species
AUCACACUUUGGGGUGUUCUUGGUAAAUAUACUGAAGUACUUUGCCAUUUUCUUGUCCAGAUCAUUUUGCAGAUGGGGAACUGAGGCAAGCAAGGAUACAUGACUUCCCCAGAGUCACACAACUAGUAACUGAUUGAGGCCUGCUAAGUGGAAAAUGGACUGAAAUGGGGAGAGACUUGAAGCUUAUAGACCAACCAGGAAGUUACUGAAGUCACCUAGACCUGAAUUAAUGAAGACCUGCACUAAAAUGAUGUUAUUAUCAAAGAAGAGGAGCUUCAUUCAGCAGCCUAUGAACAGGAGCAAAGACUAUUGGACCUUAAAAGAUUGUGAAGGGGCUUAAUACUCAGUCCAGAAAGGUAAGCUAGAGCCAGAUUUUGAAAGAUGUAAAUGCCAAACUAGGGGGUUUCUGUUUUAUCCU